GAGGCCUACGGGGGGCAGCAGUGGGGGAUAUUGCACAAUGGGAGGAACCCUGAUGCAGCGACGCCGCGUGGGCGAUGGAGCGCCUCGGCGCGUAAAGCCCUAUCAGCAGGGAAGAAGAUGACGGUACCUGACUAAGAAGCCCCGGCUAAAUACGUGCCAGCAGCCGCGGUAAUACGGAGGAUGCGAGCGUUAUCCGGAUUUAUUGGGUUUAAAGGGUGCGUAGGCGGGACGGUAAGUCAGCGGUAAAAAUGCGGAGCUCAACUCCGUCGAGCCGUUGAAACUGCCGUUCUUGAGUGAGCGAGCAG
rnacentral:rRNA from 1 species